CCUACGGGAGGCAGCAGUGGGGAAUUUUGGACAAUGGGCGCAAGCCUGAUCCAGCCAUGCCGCGUGUGGGAAGAAGGCCUUCGGGUUGUAAACCACUUUUGUCAGGGAAGAAACGGUUUGAUCUAAUACAUCGGACUAAUGACGGUACCUGAAGAAUAAGCACCGGCUAACUACGUGCCAGCAGCCGCGGUAAUACGUAGGGUGCAAGCGUUAAUCGGAAUUACUGGGCGUAAAGCGUGCGCAGGCGGCUUUGCAAGACAGAUGUGAAAUCCCCGGGCUCAACCUGGGAACUGCAUUUGUGACUGCAUGGCUAGAGUACGGUAGAGGGGGAUGGAAUUCCGCGUGUAGCAGUGAAAUGCGUAGAUAUGCGGAGGAACACCGAUGGCGAAGGCAAUCCCCUGGACCUGUACUGACGCUCAUGCACGAAAGCGUGGGGAGCAAACAGGAUUAGAUACCCUGGUAGUCCACGCCCUAAACGAUGUCAACUGGUUGUUGGACGGCUUGCUGUUCAGUAACGAAGCUAACGCGUGAAGUUGACCGCCUGGGGAGGACGGCGCGAGUAGAACGUACGAAGAGAAGUUAGACGGACGUGAGACGUACGACCGACGGACGACGACGAGGGGAGGAGGG
rnacentral:rRNA from 1 species